rnacentral:rRNA from 1 species
GCUGAUGCGUUGUUGGGUAGGGGAGCGUUCUGUAAGCCUGCGAAGGUGGCCUGUGAGGGUUGCUGGAGGUAUCAGAAGUGCGAAUGCUGACAUAAGUAACGAUAAAGCGGGUGAAAAGCCCGCUCGCCGGAAGACCAAGGGUUCCUGUCCAACGUUAAUCGGGGCAGGGUGAGUCGACCCCUAAGGCGAGGCCGAAAGGCGUAGUCGAUGGGAAACGGGUUAAUAUUCCCGUACUUGGUGUUACUGCGAAGGGGGGACGGAGAAGGCUAUGUUGGCCGGGCGACGGUUGUCCCGGUUUAAGCGUGUAGGUGUGUGUUCCAGGUAAAUCCGGUUCACUUUAACACUGAGGCGUGAUGACGAGGCACUACGGUGCUGAAGCAACAAAUGCCCUGCUUCCAGGAAAAGCCUCUAAGCAUCAGGUAACAUCAAAUCGUACCCCAAACCGACACAGGUGGUCAGGUAGAGAAUACCAAGGCGCUUGAGAGAACUCGGGUGAAGGAACUAGGCAAAAUGGUGCCGUAA